ACCAUUAAUAAAGUUAGAAAUAAUAAAACAAAAUAAAGUAGUAGUUAAAUAAAACGUACAAGUUGUAUUGCACCACGCAAGAAAUAGCAACAUAAUGUAAUAUAAUAUAAGCACUUAUACUUAUACAUACUUAAGAAAAGCGAAUAAAGAAGUUUAUAUUCCAUAUUUAUACACGUACAUCUACAGAUAAAUUUAUAGUACAAGUGUGUAUAUUUUACAUAUAUAUAUAUAUAUAUAUGUACAAUAAAUGUGAGAAGUGAACGUUACAUUACGUGGUAGAAUCGUCAGAAGAACUUUGAGCCACCCAAUCAGAACGUGAGAGGCGCGUGCCGUCAAUUUGCCCACGCGAGGUUCAUUCUUAUUUUCUCAUCCAGUACAAUCCAAUAUAAUCUGUGAGCUAUACUCUCUUAUACAUCGAUGUAUAAAAAUAUAUAUAAAUAUAUGUUGCGACAAAAUGCUGUAAAUCUGAAAUUAAUGGCUUCGACAAAAUAAUGUUUCAAGUUUUUGAAUUAUUUUAUUUUUAUGUCAAAAAAUAUUCAUUUUUUUAUUACUUAUGACUUAUGACACACAAGUCACGAUGACUCAUGUGAUAAGUCUAGUAAUAGUAUAUUACACUACGAGGGCAGAAAGUUGAGAUUCCUGCACAAGGGAAAAUAAUGAUUAGUUCUCCAAUAUUAUAUGGAAGGAGGAUUCUCAAACUUAUCACCAUGCUGAAUUCAGCACUAUUCCAAUAUGUAAUUUUGUCAUGUGUAUAUUGGAAUUUGAAGAUGCAAAGAUUUGGGUUAAAUUGGAGACUCCCGUUAUAUACGAAGAUUUUCUUACAAAAGCUCAAGACAUUUUUCCAUUUCUUGCUAACCGUAAUUUUUAUUUCACUAAUGCUAAUGAUGCAAAAUUGGACUUUAUUCUAGUUGAUUAUAUCUUAAACAAUCCACAUGGUGUGAUACUUAAAAUUAAAACGACGGA